rnacentral:lncRNA from 1 species
GCAUCAGUAACUUGAUGUUAUAAAACGUGCCUUUGUGUACAAUUCAACAAGUAGUAGAACAAGCAUAUGAGUCGAAGUUUAUCUGUUCCUUCUAGAAAUAGAAGCGAUAUCUGGGCCCCUCGAUGAUUUUGUGUUGACCCAUGUACCGGGCCCGGUCAGAACUAAACUGAUGUGUUCAGUGAAGUUCUUAGUCAAACAAAUCGGAAAUCGAGAAACAACUGCCAGACAAUAAGCAAGACAUAGUUCCAUGUGUUUGUCCGGCUGAUAUCAUGAGAACAGAGGAUUAUAUGAUCACUUGUCUUAAAAUGGCGCUUCAUAGUUCAACGGAGUUUUCGAGAGCUACGAUUGCUGGUUGGUUCCUGAAGUUAUAUAGGCAAAUACAGUUAUUAGACUUAUCCAAGUGGGAGUCUGUUGGAUAAGGUGUCUAAGUCCAUAACUUAUUUGGUAUAUACUUGACCCGACCGGCAUGGUCCAUUUGGGUUGCAUCUCAUCCAAACUAUUUAUGGAUAAUUUUAUGAGAGUUAUACACAUAUGUUUAUUAAUAUAUUAUAAGUUAUAAUAUAUUAAUAUCAAGUUAUUUUAUUUAAUUAGUAUUAGUCUUAAAUUAAUUAUCAAUUAAUUUAGAGAUUAAAAGGAAGACUAAUUAGAUUAUGGGCUACUGGUUUUAUAUGGUGUGGGCUAACACUCAUUUGUUAAUGGGCUAGGCUUUGAUAGAAGUCCAUGGAUGAUCCAUGGAGCUUUUAACCCAUGGAUCCUUGGAAAAGGAAAGGUCAUGGGUUAUUAGGGUUUCACCCUAAUCAUGUACACUAUAUAAGCAUGCUUAUGGUGCAUGAAAUGGAAACUAGUGAACUAGUGUGUGUGUGCUUGUGUGUGGCCGAAAUAUACAAGUGUGUAUACUCUCUCAAAGUUUUCCAAGAGUUUGUGGUGCUUUGUGAUUCCAUUUGAGGCAUUCACACUAUUGGUGCUUGGCCCUCAAACUCCUUAAGAACCAAACUCAUCAAAAAGGUAUGUAAUCUCUUCUAACUUUUUAUGUUGAAAUGUUCCCCAUGCCAUGUUAGAUAGGUUAUAAACCUUGGAAAAUUACUAUUUUGCAUGUAUUUAGAUAAACAUAGAUCCAAGGUUUAUUAGGGUUGCAUGCACACUUAGGAAGGGUUAGAUUGCUCAAAACCCAACACUAAAAAGGUACAACCCUUCCUCUGAUCCAACCAUUUUUGUUCCAAUCCGUAGACUCCCUACAUAUAUUCUUUCUACCCUUAGUCUCGAGACUGCUGAUGUCUCAGACCACAUUGAGGCUACGGAAGGUAUUAACCCAUACAUUCGUACCCCACCUCCCCCAUCUGCAACCUUAAACCCUGAAGAUACCGCAGUCCCUUCUUCUACAACUCUUUCUAACGUCUCUCAAAGACACAAACACAAGGUUUCUUCUCUGCAUGGUUCCUGCACCACAAAGAAAUCUGGAACUCCCAAAAAGGAUGCCCCCAAACCAUCCAAACCCUCAAAGAAAAGAAAUAGACCACCUGUAAUCACAACUACUGAACCGAGUCGCCAUGACUCCGUUAGUGAUUCUGAAGAGGAUAACCAACCCAUUUCUAUCCUCAAGAAAAGGAAAUUUGAUCCCACUAGCCAAAUGCAUGACCAGAUCGAUACCUCACCCUCUCAACAGGCUCUGGUAGUCCUUCGGAUGCCUGCACAUCCAUUCCACAACACUAUCUUUUCCUUUCAGACUCAGAAAGUGAGUCUGAAACACAGCAAAUAGGAGACUCCCCCUAGUACAUUCCCAAAGGGAUAAUACUAGUUCUCACCCUAAAUUCUCUAGGGCUUCCCGACUGUAUAUCUUUUCACCCGAGGAGUUGAACUCCAUCCUGUUGCAUGUCACCCAAACACUACAUGCACAGUUCCAACCUCAGGGCACUUCUUCCACCCUUGCCAGAACUGAGCUGAGGACAAACUUGACCAUGGGUCACGAGACCAAGGAAGCUCAGGAAAUCCUACUCUGCUUUCAUUACAAACAGGUGGUUUAGGCACGGUGAGCACAAAUGUGCAAGGAUCCGUGAACCCAAGGGACACCUUGGUGCGAUUUACAUGAAUUGUCGGUGAAGACUCAAAUGAUUCUUGGAGCAGGUAUCAACCGUCUAACGAGGCUGAAGCCAAUAAAUAUGUCGCUUUUCGUAGGGCAUUCCAAGCUUGCAAGGAUCAACAAAUCAAACAACAACAGCUCAAGGAACAAGAGAUACAAGUUGUGGCCAAGUAUUGGGCAGAUGCCAAAAACAAUGCCAAUACCGUAGCCACCAUCCUCAAGGUUCAAGACUGGAUGUCCGCAAUGGCCAAAAAAGUUCAACAAGCUCAGGAAACAAGUGUUGAUCAGCAUGUCUCUCAAGCUCCUCCCUCUCCUACUGUUGAAGGUUCACAAGACGACGAACCAAAAAUCGAAGUGAGCUCUGCUCCCAUUUUUGGCUUCGAUGAUGUUGAACUAGAAGAGGUAAACAAACCCUCUCCUUCCGAAGACGAUCUGAUGAUGUUUGAUGAAGAUGAAGAAUCCAGUGGUUCUCAUCACUCCACUUAUAAGCCAAUGGAAAGAAGAAGAAGAAGAAGCAUGCAGUGACUACGAAGGAAUUCCUCAGUCUACAGGCCAAGGUUGAUCAAAUCCUGGCCGUAGUCAAGUCAACGCAACUAGAAGAUACUUCGGGACCCCAGUCCCUUAUUGAAAGAAUUGAAAGACUGGAAACCAGAGAAAGAAAUGGCUGUGGAGCGUAUCUCUAUGAAGGUUGAGAUAGGGAUCAGGUUACUUGAAAAUAAUCGGCAAGCUGAUCACAAGGAAUUUAUGGUUGCUGCGGAACGUGUGACAACCGUCAAAAUUCGACUCGGUUCUAGAUUUGAAUAAGCUUAAUUGCACGAAUAGGCACGACACAUACUAGAUUUAGUAACUAGAAACUUGGAAACAAUUAUAAACAAUGUAUAAUGUGCUUAGAUUUCACAUUGAUAUGUGAGUUCUACAUCUACUGAGCUGUAGUGACUAUCCAUAUUUGGGUCACUCUUUGACUCGACCAACAUCUCAUGAAUCAUAUACACACAUCAUGCACUUGACCUAGAAGUAGAAGUUAGUUCAAAGUCUCAUAGAAACUUAAGUCAAAGUUGAAGAGUAGGACUAGUAUACUUGAUUCCUCAAUUUCGCUUAAAUCUCGGAAUCACUACAUAGAAUGCUAAUAAACCGAUAAAAAUAAAUUACAAACAUUAUUUAUAACUAUAAAAGAGUUAUAAUACCAUAAAAUAAUUUGAAUUCUCAAAGAUUCCAUUCAAUUUGAUAUCCAAAGAUUUAUGAAACUCCAAAAACCCUAAAAGCCAUAAAAACUCAUAGUUAUAAACUUUAACCUUAAACUUUUUAUAAAAAUAAUUAUGAAACUUAUAAAAUUAUCUUAUAAUAAUAAAAUUUAUGAAAAUCCAUUCAAGAAAAAUAAAAAAAAUAAAAAAAUUUAUGUCAUUGACAUUACCCUUAAUUUAUAAGACAAAAUACAAUUGAACCUUGUAAAAACUAAAGGUGAUUUUUAUAAAAACUAAAGAUGAUUUUUAUAAAAACUAAAGCUGAUUUUCAUAAAAAUGAUUAGGAGGCCAUAUUUAUUCAAAGUAAAGCUUUAAAAGCAUCUAAAACGCUCUCUGAUCCCUCUUAAAUUCGGACUCCACCUCCCAAGAAAUCUCUUCCCAACAAACAUUAAUCAUUCAUCACCCACACACUCCAUCUCCUUCACUUCUCUCUCUCAUUUCUCUAUCACACUCUCACACCCAUUUUCACUCCUCCUCUCUCUAUGAACCACGAAAUUUCUAGAAGAUAGGACCCAAAAACACUCACUAAACUCGAAAUGUUCAUCAUCUCGGAGUGUUCUUAAAGGUAAACCCGAAAAUCCUUCAUUUUCCUUCACUUUUCUUUCUUGUUUUAAAGGUUUUUCUUACACUUCUCAUUCUUCUACACCCUUCUUUAUGAACAAUGAUGAACACUUGCUCAAACUCAUGGUUUUGAUUAUGAUGGUGGUAGGAUUUCACCCAAAAACAACAUGCAUGUUGUAAAUGGUGAAAUCCAAGGAUCAAACCUAACUCAAAAUUUUAACACCCAAAGUUUUGAAGGCCAAGAAAGGAAAGAAAACCCUAAUUUUUAGGGGCAACUCGACGAGUCCAAGGAGGAACUCGGCGAGUCCGAGCGGGAUUCGGGUUGAGGUGUAAGUGUCCAACUUGGAGAAACGGCCAAGUGGACUCGGCGAGUCUGGUCUGUGCGAGGAAAACCCUAAAUUCGGGACUUGGAGCCUAUUUAAGCGCCUCAUUCUCUCCCCAAGGGUUCCUUUACUGCCUCUUUCACCCAUAACAUUAAACCCUAGCCGCCAUAUCCUCUUUUUGAGCCAUUUGUUGCCUUGGAAGGUCCAUUAAAGCAUGGAGAAGGAAGAAGGAACUUAAAGGAGCAAGAAGGGACUAUUAAUCUGGGCAUUUGGAGGUAAUAAACUAGUUCCUGGACCUUUUUUGCACCUACAUCUACGUGUGGUUGUUGGGGCUUUUUAGCCAUAAUGUUAUUAUGUUGAGUUAGAAGCCAUAUCUGAAGUUGCUACUUCAGAUCUAAGCAUAUUAUGGUCUUGAGAAGCAUAAAGUAGCAGCCCUUGAGUUGAUUAUGGAGCCUCCUUGACUUAAACCCUAGUUUGUGGUGAAUUUUGCCUAGAUCCCCUUCUCUAUACGUAAAGUUUGUAACUUUACGUGAGGAAUGGGCUUGGGAAGGGUAGAUCUAUAGUUUGGAGUCCAUGCAUGACUCAAAAGUCCUCUGCAUGUAUGGAGAUCUGAAUGGACUCGGCGAGUCCUUUGAGUGGAAUCGGCGAGUAGCGUGAAGAUUUGGAGGAACUCGACGAGUAAGAUGAACAGCUCGUCGAGUCAGAUGAAGUUGGGCAGGAACUCGGCGAGUCUAUUGAAGGUUGUCUUCGACUUGGUGAGUCUGUUCUUGGACUUGGCGAGUCAGGUCGCGAAACCCCAAACCCUUCGAGUUGAGACUCGAAUCAGUGAGUGGAGUGGAGACUCGGUGAGUCGGACAGGACAUGAAUCGGAAAUCGGUAGACCCGGCGAGUCAUGGACUGACUCGGUGAGUCGAGUCACAAAGAGAAGGACUUUGAACAUAUGAACUCGGCGAGUCAAUAGGGUUACUCAGCGAGUAGGGUUGACCUGGAAGAUUGACUUUGACCAGGACUUUGACGUUGACCAGAGUUGACUUGGUUGUCUUUCGGGGGUCAGUUAGACUCAGUGUUGCUUUGACAUUGGUAGCUCGGGGAGCCAGUGGAGCAGGAGUUCAGAGAGUUGUCGGUCAGCAGCCAGAGGAUUAUCANGGGUCUACGGCCACAAUGCCGGCCCAUGUAGUUAUGAGUAGAAGACCCGGGGGUUAGCCCUAGGCACAGUAUGCGAGUAUGAUAUUCGGGACGAGGUCCAAUGAUAGAGGGUGGGUGCCCAAGGAAUGGUUUAUGUGAUAGUAUAUACUUGUUGUCUGUGUGAUACUUGUAUGUGCCUGGUAGGGAGGUGAGUGUGGGCGAGGUCCCGUAUCUUACCAAUAGCAGAGUGUGGAUGGUGUUCCAUAUCUCAAUAGCAGCAGAUCAGGGGCAAGGAUCAAGUUAGGGAAGGAGUGAGGGUGGGCUGGGCCCGUACCACACUAUCAGUAGGAGUAUGGACGGGGUUCCAUGACUCAUCAGUAGCAAGACAAGGGCGGGGCCCAGAGAUAGGCGAGGCCUCACAACAAGAUCCUUUAGUAUGUGUUUAGCUAUGUGAUGUGAUGUGAUAUGUUUAGGUGCUAUUAUAUGUUAGUGGGCGAGGUCCUGUGACAAACGAGGCCUAAGUGAAACAGAUCUGUAUCCGAGCGGGGCCUGGAGCGGCGGGGGCGUUGUAGUGCGCGAGGCCCAAGGUAGGGUGGGCGAGGCCCAGGAUAGCGGGCGUGGCCCAGUAUGUGCAGUUUGUGGUUAUGCAUGGUAUGUGGUAGGGNNNNNNNNNNNNNNNNNNNNNNNNNNNNNNNNNNNNNNNNNNNNNNNNNNNNNNNNNNNNNNNNNNNNNNNNNNNNNNNNNNNNNNNNNNNNNNNNNNNNNNNNNNNNNNNNNNNNNNNNNNNNNNNNNNNNNNNNNNNNNNNNNNNNNNNNNNNNNNNNNNNNNNNNNNNNNNNNNNNNNNNNNNNNNNNNNNNNNNNNNNNNNNNNNNNNNNNNNNNNNNNNNNNNNNNNNNNNNNNNNNNNNNNNNNNNNNNNNNNNNNNCAGGAGUAUGGACGGGGUUCCAUGACUCAUCAGUAGCAGGACAAGGGCGGGGCCCAGAGAUAGGCGAGGCCUUAGGACAAGAUCCGUUAGUAUGUGUUUAGAUUAUGUGAUGUGAUAUGAUAUGUUUACGUGCUAUUAUAUGUUAGUGGGCGAGGCCCGAGGUGGGGCGAGGCCCAGGAUAGCGGGCGUGGCCCAGUAUGUGCAGUUUGUGGUUAUGCAUGGUAUGUGGUAGGGUGGGGAACUCACUAAGCUUCGUGCUUAAGGUUUUUAGUUUUGGUUUCAGGUACUUCCGGUAGCGGAGGUAAGAGCUCGGGGUGAUCGCAUGGGACACACCAUAGCUUAAACAGCUUGGGAAUGUUUACUCUGAUAACGAACAUGUAUUUUCAAAACUAAUACUCUGUUUAUGUUUUGAUGUGAUGAAUUUGUUUAAAGUAAUGUUUUAUUAAAAGAAAUUUUUAGUUUCGAAUUUCUGGACGUUACAAGUUGGUAUCAGAGCCUUGGUUUGAGGGAUUCAGGCAUACUCUCGGGUGUGCCUGAACUCAAACUGAGGGGUCGGAUAAAAAGUUUUCAAAAAUGAAAAGACAGUUUUGUAAAAAGAAUUUUGAGAACGAAAAACAGUUUUAGAAAAGCAAAAAUAAUUCAAAAAAAAAAGAACUUUGAAAAGAGAAAAAGGGUGUGGUGCAUGCAAUCAACCGAGCUCAAGUAAGUACCCCAAAAUACCCAUACAAGUUUAUGUUAUGAUUAUCAGUUGAUAGAACAAUAUGCUAGAAUAGGACUAAGGGUCUAGGGAUGAUGCCUUAUGUGCCUGUUAUUUGUGCUUUUGAGCUGCAUGAUAGUGCUGAUUAGACAGUAGUAGGAUAGCCUGUUUAGGUUAUGCCUGAGUUUAUGAGUUUGUGUUGCAUGCUAGUUCAGAUUCUUGCUAUGUGGAUAUGAUUGCUUGAGUAUGUUAUGGUUAGAUUUUCCCUUGUCCGAAUGUUGCUUGCUUUGUGCAUUGUGGGAUUCUGAGUGAUGGGGGUUAGCCAUUAGGUGGAUACGACACGCCACAUGUGAUCAGGGUUGAAUAAUCUCAAAGUGUUGGACUUUGUCCUAUUGCGCAGCUCUUGUUUGAGUCCAACCAUUGUAGGAACGAGUCUUUUACUUGAAGUAUUAUUUGAGCCUCGUCACAUGUGACAGUAUCCAGGUGAUGGCCAGUUGGCAUCACAAGGAGACCUUCAGCAAUUGAGGACUGCUUUGGGUUGAUUCAGAGGUUUCCCUAGGGUAAGCCUAGGAUGAGGUAGUGCUGGGAGCAGUAGUAGUGGUUAAGGGACCUGGUGGAGUCAAAGCAAUUCCUGAGGAAAGUACGGAUAGAUGUGGAAGCUAGUAUGGGCUCGUACUACUGAAAUCAGAGGAUCCGUACUCGAUUCGGGAAAGGCCGAGCAGCUCGAGGAGCGAAUGAGGGAGUUGAUAUCCGCCGAGGUUGCACGUAGUAUGCUAGAUCAGACUCCUGUGAUCUUUGGCACGGUCAAGGAGGGUAUAUUGGAGAUUUUGGAUGAGAGGCUGGGAGCCUUCCGUACUGAGAUGAUGGCUUUGUUGGGAGCGCGUACCUUGAUAUUUCAAGAGUUCAGGGCUUGCGGGGCACCAGAUUAUCAUGGGGCUAGGGACCCCAUCGCUAGUAGCAGAUGGUUGGUUGAUGUUGCCAACGCAUUCCGUACGAUCCGGUGCCCUGAGGGGGACAAGGUCAGACUCGCUUCCUAUAUUCUGAAGGACAGAGCAAGGGAUUGGUGGGCGGAGAUUGGUCAUGCUUUGGGAGAUGAUGCCGCGUUGGACGCGGUGACCUGGAGCGAUUUUUUGGCCAGGUUCAGGGCGGAGUUUUCGCCGAUUAUUGAGGUGUAGCAGCUGGCACAGGAGUUUCAGGAUUUGACGCAGACCACGGAGACUGUGGCGGAGAUCACCACCAAGUUCAGGGAGAGGGCUCUUCUUGUACUGCAGUACAUCGCGGAUGAGGAGAUGAAGAAGGCCCGAUACCAUGAGAUGUUGAGGGUGUUGGGUUAUGAGCAUUCUAACACUCCUAAGUGUACAUGCAACCCUAAAUACCUUGGAUCUAUGUUUUCUCUAUUAUACAUACAAAUAUGAACAUCGAAGGUAUUAUCCUAAUCUAGCAUAUAACAUAAUGAAUAUAACAAGAUAGAAUACAUACCUCUUUCAUGUAGAAAGUCUUCAUGAAGCUUGAGUGCCAAGUGCCCCAAGUGUGACACCUCAAAUGGUUCACACAACACCAAAUACACUUGGAAUAACUUGAGAGAAUUCUACACUUCAUGAAAAUCGGCUAGCCCUCUCUAGAAUGAUACUAGUCGCCAAUUUUGUCAAGAAUAAGAUCUUUAUAUAGUGUUACAAUUAGGGUAAACCCUAAUUGUCAUGACUUUCCAUUUCCUUGGAUCCAUGGGUUCAAAUACACCAUGGAGCAUCCAUGGACCAUCCUAUGGGUUUUAGCCCAACUUGAUUAUCCAUGGAGCAUUAGCCCACUAUACAAGUAUGGAUGAUUUACACAAUCAACCCAUAUAUUUAAUUAGUCUUCUUUUGAUCACUUAAUUAAUCCUAGAUUAAUUCUUGAUCAAUACUAAUUAAAUAAUCUUAUUAUUCUUAUUAUUAAUAUACUAGAACUUAUAAUAUAUUAAUAACCAUAAGUGUCUUAUUUCUCUCAUUAUAGUCUAUCCAAGUGCAUGAUGCCAUGCAACCCAAAUGGACCAUGCCGGGUCGGGUCAAGUCUUACCAAUUAUAGUUAUGGACUUAGACAUUAAUCCAACAGUCUCCCACUUGGAUAAGUCUAAAACUAUUAUUGCGUAUGACUUCAGGAACCAACUGGCAAUCGUAGCUCUCAAAAGCUUCUGUCGAACUCUGACCUUGUAGAUGAACUCUGACCUUUGUCAAUGACUUGUCCAUUAGAUAAGGGAUCAUAUAUUCCUCCAUUCUAGAUAUCAUAUGGACUGAGACAUGGAUUAUAAUCAUUCUCUCUGUCCAUUUGUUGUUUCCCGAUUUCCGAUUUAUGACGACUGACUAAUUGAACAAAUCAAAUCAGUCCUGGCCCGGCCGAGCACUUCCAUUUGUCAUCAUCAAAUCAUCGAGGGGCCCACAGAUAUCGCUUUUAUCCCGAAGGUAAAAGGAAUGGAUAAACUUCGACUCAUAUGGCUUGUUCUACUACUUGUUGAAUCAUACACAAAGGCACGUUUUAUAGCACCGAGUUACCAAAUGCGUUUUCGUGCAAUCAAUGUACUAUCAACUCAUAGUAACAACUCAUAUCUCUAGGUUUGAAGAAUAUAAGAUAUUAUCGUCUCAUGAUCACUCGUGAUAAAAUCCAUGAAGUGAUUCCAAUGAGCGCGGGUUGAAUCCAAUACUCAGAACUUAUGAGCACUCAUGAGUGUUGUAGCCCUUUGUCCAACACCUUAGACCUCUACAAGCCAACCCAUGACAGUCUUAAUUCAUAUCUACUUCCAACAUAUGACCGACUGUGGAUGGUUUGAAUAACUUAGUCAUUCCGGAAGAAUAACCUAGUUUAUUCGGGAAGUCAAAACAUGCAAAGUGAAACACAAUAAUAAUUGAAUCCAAUAUGGUAUCAACCCUUUGAACAUAAAUAAAACACCUUUUAUUUAUCACCAUAUGAUUACACAUUAUUCAUUGUAUACUGUUUCAGCUAUCAACUUUAUUCUUGAAUUUAAAACAAUAGUUGUCCCAUGCUCCAAGCAUGUACACUAUGUUUUCUUAAACACUAGUCAUGCCACACACCAAGUAUGCAUACUAUGUUUGUCUAUGAUCUUUACUUUGUGAACUAGAUCAAUUGAACAUAACUUCAAUGAUUCUCUUUUCACACUCCCAAAUCCUUACUGCAAAUGCAAGAAUUCCAAAUUCAUGCCAUUUACUGAAAUCUGUUAGAUUCUAAACUUAUAUGCAUUGAUCCUCUUGUAAUGAUUAUGCACAAAGUCAUAAAGACUUGACAACAAUCAUUACAGAGUAUUCCAAAGGAGAUCAACUCCUUGGAAACAUCCUUCUUGCAUUAAGUUUCCUUAAUCUUACACAGAUUGAAAAUUCUAACUUUGAAACAUUUCCAGAUUCCAUUUUGACUAUCACUUCUGAACAAGAGUUGCCUCCUUACAGAUUAUGUCAAUAUGGUCCUUCCAGAAUUAUCACUAUACUUCCAAUUGUCCUUGAGUAACCAAUCUUUGGUAAACCUUAGAUUGUCCUCGACAAUUGUUUAAUCCUUUUAGUCAUAUCCAGUUCUAAACCUUUUCCCUUCUUAAUGCCCCAGGCAUUUGGAAAAUUUUAGAACGGAUGAAUAUAGCACAUGUAAUCGAUCCUAUAUCCGAAGCAUAUGGGACACGAUUCAUGAUGUCUCACAUAAAGACUAAACCAGUCUUUUGCUAUAACAUUUCCAUUUCAAUUUGCCAAGUUCUCAUAAUUCAGAUUAUGAAAAGGGAUGCCGUAAUCAUAAUCGAAUUUUAGAACGCAAAUAAUGGACCCAUAUACAGAAUUUCCUUAUGUUGAGCCAUUCCAACAUGAAAUUCAUAUAUAUCCUUGACUAAAUGAUUAAAACCUCACGAUCUAAGCUUAUAGAUUUGAGAUGAAGUAUAAUUUCCUCUCCCUUAAUUAUAGCAAAACAACUUUUUCCCAAUUGAAACUUUUGUUUUCUAUAAUUAACAUUGCUAACUUGCAAUACUUAUCAUAAUUAUCAUGCUCCCACUAACAUGAUGAUUAUUAGCAUAACACUUAUGCUCCCACUAGCUUUGACAUGUACUCAGAAAUCAGCUGGACAGUCUGAAAUUUAGAUUCAUACACCCUUUCCGUAGAUAGCUCACCUGUGUGUCUAAGCAAUUUCAAGAACCAUGAAAAGGGAUACCGUAAUCAUGGUCUCAAUUGCUUAGGCAUUUGCCAUUUCUCACAAGUCCAUGUUAGUGUGCCGGUUAACCACACGCGCUCCACUAACGACUUUGAGAAUGCAAAUAUCACAAUUGCUAUCUAGCUAAAAUCUACUUAGUGAAAGUGUUUCCUCACCAUCAUUUUCAUGAAUCGGAGAGAAACCUUAUGACACUUAGAUUUAUAUGGUGUAUGAGUUCCUACCCAUAUGAAUUUGUCAAACCAUAAUCACAAGACAAAGAUAAUGACAAAUCCAAAACCAUAUGGAUUGAACUCAAUCUUAACUUCUUGCCACCUGGCAGCUCAAGGCCCUGCCAUUACUUCCAAGUUGUUGUGCAACCAAUUGAGAAUUCUAAGAACUCAUAUGCAAAGCCAACUUUAACUGAAAUGGGAACAUAAUAUGUCAUCAUGAUAGGUUAUAAACCUCAUGUCGUGUGCUAGUGAAGAACUUUAGGUUUUAUUCUUGAUUAGUUCUUGAGACUUUCAAGACCUUUAAGACUCCCACUGCCCUCUUGACAUAUAAUAAUCCCUUUUCAAACAUCCAAGAGAUAGUGUGGAUUCUAACCAAGACAAACACUUCACACAAUAGGCCUAAGUUGGUCUUUGUUUUAUCCAAAACAUCACAACUUACCAAUUUCAAAUGUACAAGAGUAGAAAACUUUUACUCUUACAUUUGACAAGUGUUUUAAACCUUCUUUAAGACAUGUCACUCAAAUGACAAUCUUGGAGUAUGACUCUAAGACUUGUAUUGGAACGAAGUAUGACUCAUCUUCUUGAUUUAACCAUUUCAACAAUUCAAGUUCCUCUUCUUAGUCAUAAGAAUGCACUAAGAUUUCCUUAGAGAACUAAUUUUGAUAUGGUUUCUUAAUCAUUAAGAUGAUCACAAAACUGAUACUAAAGUACUCUCCCAUCUUUUCAGAUAUGAGAAACUUUUAUCCUUCUGCCUAAUUUGAUUCUUCUUAUUCGCCCUGCCAUACAUUGGAACCUUUUCCAAUGUCUCAGAGUUACACUUAAGCUUGUAAGUAUAAUCAUAUUUACUGAGCUUUAGUAAACUAUGACGAAUAGUCUUAUCAAUCUUUUGUGGUGGACUUAAUCAGUGCACAAGAAUGUGUACUCGAUCCCUUAGUCCUUUACUUGACUCACACAUCCAUGUGAACAAGUAAUUAGUCUUAAUUUUCCAAAACUUGAAAGUUCUCAUUCAUCAUGCUAUACAACUUGCAUGAUUCCAAGUUCCGGUCCAAUUGAAACUUGGGUGAUGAGAAUCUUUCCUUAUUUGGUAAAUCUAGACAUUACCACAAAUGAAAGAAUCAAUUUCAUAUUUCCACUCUUGCUCUUAAUGGAAUCAUAUAAGCAACAAUUUUUCCUCAAAAGCCAUUGUAAGGAUAUUUUAAAAUAAAUAAAAUCAAAAAAAUUUUCUUUUAUUUUAAAACUUUGCGGAAAAACUUAUCCUUACAAUCCAUAUGAAAACUUGUUGUUAUCUAUUCCUAAGCAAUAUCUCAUAACUCCUAAGAAGUAGCUCAAGAAUCCGAUCUUCAAACUAUGCGAUAGAAAUCCAUCUACGCCAUCAGAUUCAGCAUAUUCUUUCUUUAAGUUUCUUCACUUUUCUUUGAUUCUUAAAACAUCACCAUGUGACCCAGUCACAUCAUGUAUCAAGAAUCUCAGAAUAGAAACUUAACAGAGUUAGAUAGUGGACUUUACCUGAAGUAGAGUCAAACUUAUUGACUUUAACAUCCUUAGGUAAAUUUGGCAGCUUCGCAACCAAUGCCCCUUCCUUUGGCAAUAUAAACAUAUGGACCCUUUGAUAAUGGUACACGGGACUAUCACAGACUUAGCUUUUCUCUUUACCAUUUGGUCAACCGAGUUGACUAUGGCCGAUCCCUUUCCAUUGGGAAGAGAAUGCUUUACUGGAUAUCCAAUGUCAUCAUUGUCAAUGUCCAUAAAGUUUUAGGAAGUUGAUCUUAGCAAAUAGAUAAGAUCAUUAAGGGUCUUGUCAUAGUCUGUUUCAUAGGUGUCCCAAAGGAACUCACUAUGUGACUUAGAAAGUGGUUGAACCACCAACUUUCUCAAGACUUUGACACCCAACUCUCCCGGCUUGUCAAUAUGUGACUACAUCUCCAAGAUGUGACCACACCUAGACCUUGCCUUGCUAAUAGGGCCUGAGUGACCUUAAACUUUUCAAGAACUUGUGGGUUAGGGAGAAUAAUUUGAAGAGGUGAAGAAGUAUGAUAUCCAUGGGACAUCAUCUUCAUUAGGAAACCUUGUUUCAAGAGAUUUGGGAAGAUCAUAGGUGUCUAAACCAGACAUCUUUUGGGAGAUAUUCAAGAUAGUUGAUUUAAAGUCCUUAAUAUGACACCCAAUAUGAAAUAUUAAGGCUAGGACCCAACAAACUAUUUUAUAACUUAGAAGAGGUAUGCCGUAAUCCAAGCUAUAAAAUAUUUGAAGGUAGGUGAAUGACGAUUCACCAAUUUCCACCAAGAUAAACGAAAUGUAUUAUUAGGUUUUAAUUGGUUUUGAAACUCCUAGAUCUUUGAGAUUCAUUGAACUUUUCAAAGGCAUGUUUCAAUCUCGAGUGUGCCCUUCAGGUUUUGUGACUGGGAUGCCGAGGAUCACAAAACAAGGUGUGAAGUAACCAUGCAAAUCACUUGGUACCCUUAAUAAAUUACCCCUCAAUCGAUGUGCCGGUUAACCACACACGCUCCAUCGAUACUAUGAUAAAUAUUAAGUCACCCUUUACCUACCUUGUUAAGUCCAAGUUAGUGUGCCGGUUAACCACACACGCUCCACUAACGACUUAGACAAAGUGUAAAGUGUAAUUUCAUGGAUUAGCACCUUAUUCACAUUUUUCCUAAGUAACUAAGAUUGGGUAUUAUUAAGAGUUUAGUUACUUAGUAUUAUCAUUAAUACUUUUAAUGAAGGGAGAAUUCUAGUCCUGUCAAACCCGUUCGGCUAACGACCCUCCACCAGUCAAGCAAGCGGUGGGUGAGAGUGGACACCCAUUAAGUUGCCAUUUUAUAGGCAACAACCUUAUACCCACCUUAUAGACCGGCUUCGUGAAUGAGGCGUACUAGCGGUAAGACUGACUUUACUCUUAUACAUAUAUAUAUUAUUAACUUAUAAUAUUAUAAAGUAUAAGGGUUGAAUUUUAACUUUUAAAAUUCUAAGGGCUAACUUGGAAUUAAAGUAUUCAUACUUGAAAACUUUUCAAAUUCCAAAACUUGAGGGCAAGUUUUGAAACUAUUCAAAACUAAUUAAUUCCAUAACUUAUGUGUUUAAAGUAGUUUUAAUCCAAAAACUCUUCAAGUUCCAUAACUUGAGGACAAGUUAUGGAAGACUUUAAACUAAUAAAAGAACUAACUUUUUCUUUAUUUUAUAACUUAUGGAUUUAAUUAUGGUUACAUAUUUUUCUUUAAUGAAGUGACUCUUGAACUUCCAUAACUUGAGGACAAGUUAUGGAGUCAAAAAAAAUUAUUCAAUGACACAAGACUCUUCAUUUUGUAACCAUUGCCAACUUUUAUGAAUUUUAUGAGUCUUUAAUGUGACUCUUCAUGUAACUUGAGGACAAGUUACACAAACACAUUUUAUACUCAACUCUUAGAUUAAAAUGGAUUGAAAACAACUAUUUCACUCAACAUUUCUAUUAAUCUAAGCAACUCAUAAGAACAAGAUAAUUCAAAUCAAACUUUUUCAUGUAAUUAGUCUAAACCUUAAACUAAUACAAAACAUGAAUCUAUUGACAAUUAUCUUUGAAAAUGGAUUAGCAUGAACAUUACCACAUCAAAAACAAGUUUAUAAGUUCAAAAACAACUUAGGGUAAUGUUCCUAGUCCAUUUCUAGCCAAAAAACUCGAAAAUAUGCUGUCUGGGGGUCCAACUCGUCGAGUGCAUGAACAAACUCGGCGAGUUGGAUCGAAUUCAUCACUUUUUAGGCAUGGACUCGUCGAGUCUCCUGAUGGACUCGCCGAGUCUGAUGGCCAGACAGCACCAGAUUCGUUUUUUCAGCUUCUAUUGCAGGUAUAACAAGAAAACAAGCCUAGGCUCUGAUACCACUGUUGGGUUUUGAGCAUUCUAACACUCCUAAGUGUACAUGCAACCCUAAAUACCUUGGAUCUAUGUUUUCUCUAUUAUACAUGCAAAUAAGAACUUCCAAGGUAUUAUCCUAAUCUAGCAUACAAAACAAUGACUAUAGCAAGAUAGAAUACAUACCUCUUUGAUGUAGAAAGUCUUCAUGAAGCUUGAGUGCCUAGUGCCCCAAGUGUGACACCUCAAAUGGAAUCACAAUCAUCAAAACACUUGGAAUGAUUUGAGAGAAUUCUACACUCUUCAAAAUCGGCUAGCCCUUUCUUCACUAUCUCUAGUGGCCGAUUUUUCCUCAAUAAUAAGAUGCUUAUAUAGUUACACAAUUAGGGUAAACUCUUAAUUGUCAUGGCUUUCCAUUUCCUUGGAUCCAUGGGUACAAAUACACCAUGGAGCAUCCAUGGACCAUCCUAUGGGUUUUAGCCCAACUUGAUUAUCCAUGGAGCAUUAGCCCACUAUACAAGUAUGGAUGAUUUACACAAUCAACCCAUAUAUUUAAUUAGUCUUCUUUUGAUCACUUAAUUAAUCCUAGAUUAAUUCUUGAUCAAUACUAAUUAAAUAAUCUUAUUAUUCUUAUUAUUAAUAUACUAGAACUUAUAAUAUAUUAAUAACCAUAAGUGUCUUAUUUCUCUCAUUAUAGUCUAUCCAAGUGCAUGAUGCCAUGCAACCCAAAUGGACCAUGCCGGGUCGGGUCAAGUCUUACCAAUUAUAGUUAUGGACUUAGACAUUAAUCCAACAGAGGGAUGACAUCAGGGAGUUCGUGAGCAGAUCCAGCUGUAAAACGCUGGAAGAUAUGAUUUCUCGAGCUAGAGAGAGGGAAAUUGAUUUGGUGCAGAUCCGGAAGAGGAAGCCGGAUGAGGUUCAGGUAGCUACAGGUUCAGGCAAAAGGCCCAAAGGAUCGGAUUCGAUGUCGAGGGAUUAUCAGGACCGCAGCCGGUGCGGGAAGUGUGGCAGGGCGCACGGGGGCGCGUGCAGGAGUGGUAGCGGUGGUGAGUCUGGCUGUUUCAAGUGCGGUCGGACUAGUCAUUUCAGCAGGGAUUGUACUGUUAUCACCUCACAGGGAUCAGACUUGUUAUGUUUUCACUACAACCAGCGGGGCCACAAGAAGGCCCAGUGCCCCAGUUUGUUUUUAGCAGGACGGGUGAUGGCACCUGCCCCUGUAACUUUGAGGAUCACAGACGGCCGUCAGGGCCAUGCAGAGGCGCCUGCGGUGGGAGGUAGAGCUCUUCAGAUGACUACCUUAGAGGUGCGAUCAGCACCGGACGUUGCAGUUAUGCAAUUUCUGUUUUCAGUUCUUUUAUUUGUGCAUGAUUAUAUUGUUAUGGUUCUGCAUCAUUAUCGGUAUGAGUAUUUUAUUUUUGAGCGAUUGAUUGUGAUCGAGUUAUAUGCCAUCUGCAUACCUUGGAUGUUCGAAUAGUAGUGAGGGGAUGUGCCCUACUGGAGAAGGCUACAUAGGAUACAGUAACUGUAGCAUGCUUGGGAGGGACUUGGUAUGUCUCACUAGAUCAGAGUUGUAUAGUGUUAGAAAUGAAUUGGUUAGGUCCCUAGCUAUGGUAUGCUUGGGUUCCUCAGCAGAUCGAUUAUGGAAUGGUAUCAAGGAUUUCUUUUGAGUAUUGAGCAACAAGGGGUAAGCAGGAUCGAAGUGGGGGAGAAUCCUCCAAUUUUGCCCAGGUAAGAGCACGCAGACCCUGAAUGAGUACGUGACCUCCGAGGAGGAAAAGAAGUAGUUCAACGUUUGAUGAAUUGAGGAUUCAGGGUUGGGAGUUUGAGAAACUCCCCAUCAGCUAGUGCGUGUGAUGGUAAUGGUUAGUGCGUAGUUGGGAAUUCAGGUUGUGGAUCGCCCGUAGGACUCGAGGGAGUCGGAAUGAGGAUCUUGAGAGCUAAUGGCACAUGGGUGCCUUCAUGUUAGCAGUCAGUGGUGGAAGUGUUGUAAGACUACGGGGCAGCCGUAGCAUUCACUAGCAGUCAGCAANNNNNNNNNNNNNNNNNNNNNNNNNNNNNNNNNNNNNNNNNNNNNNNNNNNNNNNNNNNNNNNNNNNNNNNNNNNNNNNNNNNNNNNNNNNNNNNNNNNNNNNNNNNNNNNNNNNNNNNNNNNNNNNNNNNNNNNNNNNNNNNNNNNNNNNNNNNNNNNNNNNNNNNNNNNGAGACCCAUGGGCGAGGCCCAAGCGAGAGUGAUUAGACUAGUGGGAAUAGAAGGAUAGAGGCGGGUGGGACCCGUGGGCAAGGCCCGUGAGUUUUAGCAGCACAGGUGGGACCUGGUAGGGACCUUAGUGUCAAGUUAGGGGAUCGGGGAUCCCAGGUUUGUAUUGACUGAAUGGCAUAAUUGAUUGAGCAGUUAUAGGUGGUUGAAGUUUCUUUGGAAGUCGCUGGGAGCGACUAGUGGUGGUGUUGGGACUAGCUACCGGUGGGAGCCAGUAAUCCAGACACUGAUAGGUUGGUAGGGACCAGGGUGGUCUCAGUUCAUCCGAAAGGCAGACAAGGAAUAGCAGAAUUUUCAGUUAGUAGUACUGUGGGUAAGCAGUGUAUGGUGGAAUUCAGUUAGUUGAAUCGAGGGGUGCUCGGCACCAAUGUUUUGGCAGAGAGGAGUGUAAGUGGUUACUAAUGGUGAUGAUCCGUACUGGGAAUAGCGGGGGUGAUGGAGUUGGUGAAGGAUAGGGCCUUCAUAGUGACAGAAGGAAUAGUUGGAUAUGGAGCAUUGCCUUAGGAAGGCAAGGGAAUCACGUAAGGAAAGAAGGGGUCAACCCCUAUGAGUUCAAGUGCAGUACUUGGAGAAUACCAGAAGGAUUGUCGGUGGAGUAAGUUGUGUUUCUAAGUUGUUCAGGGUCAGGUUUGACCCGAGGUUUUAUCCGCGAGGUUUAUGUUAGUCAGAGUGACAAGGUGGAAGACCAGCGAAGGUAGGCAGCUGGUGUUGGGAUAAUUGGUGGGUUUUGGAAGCAGAUCGCAGGCGGUGGACCAUGGCAAACUUCGAGGAUGAAGUUUAGUUUAAGUGAGGGAGAGUUGUAACACCCAAACUUUUGAAGACCAAGAAAGGAAAGAAAACCCUCAUUUUUAGGAGCAACUCGGCGAGUCCAAGGAGGAACUCGGCGAGUCCGAGCGGGAUCCGGGUCGAGGUAUAAGUGACCAACUCGGCGAGUCGGCCAAGUGGACUCGGCGAGUCUGGUUUGUGCAAGGAAAACCCUAAAUUCGGGACUUGGAGCGUAUUUAAGUGCCUCAUUCUCUCCCUAGGGUUCCUUUACUGCCUCUUUCACCUAGAACAUUAAACCCUAGCCGCCAUAUCCUCUUUUUGAUCCAUUUGUUGCCUUGGAAGGUGCAUUAAAGCUUGGAGAAGGAAGAAGGAACUUGGAGGAGCAAGAAGGGACUAUUGAUCUGGGAUUGUGAGUUCAUUCUGAUCAUUUGGAGGUAAUAAACUAGUUCUUGGACCCUCUUUGCACCUAGAUCUAUGUGUGGUUGUUGGGGCUUUUUAGCCAUAAUGUUAUUAUGUUGAGUUAGAAGCCAGAUCUGAAGUUGCUACUUCAGAUCUAAGCAUAUUAAGGUCUUGAGAAGCAUAAAGUAGCAGCCCUUGAGUUGAUUAUGGAGCCUCCUUGCAUUAAACCCUAGUUUGUGGUGUAUUUUGCCUAGAUCCCCUUCUCUAUACGUAAAGUUUGCAACUUUACGUGAGGAAUGGGCUUGGGAAGGGUAGAUCUACAGUUUGGAGUCCAUGCAUGACUCAAAAGUCCUCUGCAUGUAUGGAGAUCUGAAUGGACUCAACGAGUCCUUUGAGUGGACUCGGCGAGUAGCAUGAAGAUUUGGAGGAACUCGACGAGUGGGAUGAACAGCUCGUCGAGUCAGAUGAAGUUGGGCAGGAACUCGGCGAGUUGGAUGAACAACUCGGCGAGUCUAUUGAAGGUUGUCUUGGACUCGGCGAGUCUGUUCUUGGACUCGGCGAGUCAGGUCGCGAAACCCCCAACCCUUCGAGUUGAGACUCGAAUCAGUGAGUCGAAUGGAGACUCGGUGAGUUGGACAGGUCAGGACUCGGUAAUCGGUAGACUCGGCGAGUCAUGGACUGACUCGGCGAGUCGAGUCGCAAAGAGAAGGUCUGAACAUAUGAACUCGGCGAGUCAAGAGGGUUACUCAGCGAGAAGGGUUGACCUGGAAGAUUGACUUUAACUAGGACUUUGACGUUGACCAGAGUUGACUUGGUUGUCUUUCGGGGGUCAGUUAGACUCAAUGUUGCUUUGACAUUGGUAGCUCGGGGAGCGAGUGGAGCAGGAGUGCAGAGAGUUGUUGGGAAGCAGCUAAUGGGUUCAUCAGCCAGUUCAGCCAGUGCAGAUGAGUUUCCCUUUGUAUGAAUGGGUCUACGGCCACAAUGCCGGCCCAUGUAGUUAUGAGUAGAAGACCCAGGGGUUAGCCCUAGGCACAAUAUGCUAGUAUGAUAUUCGGGACGAGGUCCAAUGAUAGAGGGUGGGUGCCCAAGGAAUGGUUUAUGCGAUAGUAUAUACUUGUUGUCUGUGUGAUACUUGUAUGUGCCUGGUAGGGAGGUGAGUGUGGGCGAGGUCCCGUAUCUCACCAAUAGCAGAGUGUGGAUGGUGUUCCAUAUCUCAGUAGCAGCAGAUCAGGGAUGAGGACCAAGUUAGGGAAGGAGUGAGGGUGGGCUGGGCCCGUACCACACUAUCAGUAGGAGUAUGGACGGGGUUCCAUGACUCAUCAGUAGCAAGACAAGGGCGGGGCCCAGAGAUAGGCAAGGCCUCACAACAAGAUCCGUUAGUAUGUGUUUAGCGAUGUGAUGUGAUGUGAUAUGUUUAUGUGCUAUUAUAUGUUAGUGGGUGAGGCCCUGUGACAGGCGAGGCCUAAGUGAAAUAGAUCUGUAUCUGAGCGGGCUCGAAGCCAGGCGGGGCCGUUGUAGCGGGUGAGGCCCGAGGUAGGGGUGGGCGAGGCCCAGGAUAGCGGGCGUGGCUCAGUAUGUGCAGUUUGUGGUUAUGCAUCGUGUGUGGUAGGGUGGGGAACUCACAAAGCUUCGUGCUUACAGUUUUCAGUUUUGGUUUCAGGUACUUCCGGUAGCGGAGGGAAGAGCUCGGGGUCAUCGCAUGGCACACACCAUAGCUUAAACAGCCUGGGAAUGUUUACUCUGAUAACGAACAUGUAUUUUGGAAACUAAUACUCUGUUUAUGUUUUGAAGUGAUGAAUUUGCUUAAAGUAAUGUUUUAUUAAAAGAAAUUCUUAGUUUCGAAUUUCGGGACGUUACAAAAAUAAACGUAAUGUAGUUUUUCUACAUGUUUUGUGCGAAAAACACCACAUGCAUCCAAUGUUUUCCAGCAAAAAAAUGAUUUUUGAACAUUUCAAACUCAUGAAUGGUCUUCAAACAAACAUGGAUGUGAUUAUCAUCAAGCUUAGAAGCUAGAUCAUCAAAGUAUGUUGUUAUAAGCUUUCAAAUAUGUUCAUGAAUGAUUUAUUUCCAAAUAAAUAUCUAAAACUCCUUUUCUGACCAAAUCCGAUUUUUCCCAGAUUCCUACCAACAAAAUGAGAUGUUCUACAAAUUUUCAGAAAAUAAUUCGUUUUGCUCGAAUUAUUAUAAUUAUUUCAAUAAUAUAUGACAAUAAAUCAUAUAAAAUAGUUUAUGAGGUCUAUAAAUCUUAGGUAAAUUCUUGGAUGACUCCUAUACUAAAUAAAGACUUCUCAUUAUGUUUCUUCUAUUUUUGUUACUGUUUAGCGUGGUUUUCAAUUUUCUUUUUGUUUAGCCCCAAUAAAUCAUAAAACCGAUUUGAAUAAUUUGAAAAGGGUAUAUAAUAAUUUUCACAGCUUAUAAUCUCUGUGUAAGACUUAGAAAAUUAUUUUUAGAAUUUUUGAUAAUGUAUUCCUAUUUUUCUCCGAUUUUUUUAUUUAUAAUGGACUAAAAACAGGAAAAAUAUUUUUACUUAUCCAAAAAUUAUGAAAAUUUACCCAAACACCUUGUAGUACAUUAGGAGGCUACAUAAACAUUUUGAUGAUUUUUAUCUUCUGUAUACUUUUUUUAUCCUAUUUUCUAGGAUUAAAUACACUUAAAUACACAAAAUCGGAUUCCAUUAGAUAAAAACCACCUUUGGGAUUUUUCCCAGAUUAUUUACACUGUAAAUGAACUUUACAAAAAUUUUAGUAAGUUACUUUAACUAUUUAAUAAUUAUUCUCCAAUUAAUGAUUAUUUAAGAGGAUAAAACAAAGAAAAAUAUAAAGACUAAAUAUCUUUUAUAUUUUUCACAGCUUCUACAUGUAGAAUAAAAGUGUUGCAAAAAUUUUGGGCAUUUUUGGAAACUGUUGCCUAUUUAUUUCAAUUUUUAUUAGAAUAAAUGCUCAAAAAUCAUAAAACUUGGUUAAACAGUUUAGAAAUCAAUUUUUAUAUUUUUCCCAACUUAAUAAUGUUUAAUAACAAUAAUACAAAAAGUUUGGGUAGUUGUGGAAAUGGAUUUCGAUUUUUCAUGAAUUUGUAUCUAUUUAGAGAAUUAAAUAUAUGAAAAAUGGUUAUAUAUAUCCAUAAUCAAUGAAAAGUUAUCUAGAAGUCUUUUAAACAUUUAGAACCAAAAUCUGAAUUUUGGUAAUUUUUAUUAACUGUUUAGUAUUUUGUUAUGAUUUUAUGGUUAUUCAAGAAACUAAAAUUGUGAAAAAUAGUCCGACAAAUCAAAAAUCCAAGAAAAUUUAUCUUGAGGUCCUUGACUUCAAUUAAAACUGAAAUGCAAACUUUGGGAAAUUUUAGAACUAAAUUGAUUUAGUUUUUGAAUAUUUAAUCAUUAGAACACCUCUUAAAAUGUUAAAUAUUAGCAUUUCAAUAAUGGGAAAAUUCCACUUAAAUUGUUAUAUAACAAUUGAAUCUUUGAAAUUUAAUUUUAACAGAAAAAUGAUUGUAACUGAUUAAUAUUAAAUUUUGACACAUUAUUGGCAUAAUUCUAUUGUAGUAGUAAGUAUACUAGUGUUAGAUUUCGAUUAGAAACUCACUAGCGGAUACCAUUAUUGUAGGAAUCGAUAGUGGUACGAGUGGAACUUAGCUCAAGGCAUCAUUUACAUCAUCUCAAUGCAUAUUGUGAGUAUUCACCACUCCCCUAUUUUCGGUUUUUAUGUUUUAGGGUGGAAAAGCAUGUCCUAAAAUAUUUAUGUUCGUUGUAUUUAAUUUGACUUGUAUCAGACUUGGUUGUUAUAUGUUGCUAUGUAUGUGUAUGUUAUUGUUAAUUCAUGAGGACUGUAUCGCGGUUAAGUCCCUGGAAUCUCUAGACACAACUCAUUAACUCUUUUGAGCCUAUGGUUAUUAUGGAUAGCGCUAUCUAGAGGUAGACAACUCCUCACUCACACGAUUCACUUGAGUGCAUUUGACCAUUUUAUACACUAUGUUUGCGAUACACAUAGUAGUCAAUAGGGCACGAUUUGGUCAUUAGGAUUGGGUUAUGAACUCAUGAAUGGAAACUUGAUGCACAUAUGAAUCUUUAUGCACAUACGAAACUUGUUUUCUCAUGUUAGCAACGACACUUGUAUACUUAUUUUUAGCAAUGAAACUUGUAUACUUAUUUUAGCAACAAACUUGGUUGCUUCUUAUAGUAACAAACUUGUUUGCUCCUUGUAGCAAUGAAACGAAACUUUUAUGCUUAUUAUAGCAAGGAACUUUGUUUCUCAUUAUAGCAACGAACUUUUAUUACUAAAAACUUAUAUACUUGUUUUAGCAAUGAAAUUGUUUGCUCCUUGUAACAACGAAUAUUAUUUUGAUUCUUGAAAACUCAUUUUAGCAAUAUACUUUUAUUUAUGGAAACUUUUAUCAAAACUUUUAAUUUGAUUCUUGAAACUAAUAUUAUUUUUAAUCUGUGAGUACUCCCCAACUUUUUUUUAUAGUUGACGCUCGUUUUACAUGCUUUUUCAGGAAUCAUCGAGUAAGUGGCACUUAGGGACACUUCACUUUUAGGAGCAUUCACAUGUGUUUUAUUUCAAUUUACAUUGUAAUUUCUUUUAAAAGUUGUUCAAACCCAUUCUAAAUUUGUAAUGAUUUUUAAUACUUUGGUUGGUGUUUUAUUUAAACUUUUUCUAUGAAACCCUUUAUACUGCCAUGCCUCAUGUUUCCGCUUUAGCAGGGUGUGACAGAAUGCCUCAUUUUGAGGUUACCACAAUCAAAACCGAUCUCCAAGCAGCCAUUGCGGAUCAGGCCUCACACUCUGAGAAGUUGACUGCUGAGACUCAUACUGCUCAUGAAUUCGCAAUCUCCGUUCUUCAAACAACAAUAAAAAGACUGCAGCGAUCUCUUUCAGCCAACUUCCAUGGUCCAGAAAUCCUUCACCUCACAAAGGAAAUCCACAUAUUGUUGUUGAACCCUGCUAUCCCAAAUAAUCAUCAAUUGGUCGAAGCCCUCAAAGCUCAAUUUGAUGCAAUAUAUGAAAAGGUUGAUAGCCUUCGUCAAUGGCUUGCGGAGGCUCCAGGUCUGAACUCCUCAAGAGGGGGAAGUGAAGAAGUCCAUCAAGAAGAAGAAGGUCAUCAUUCCAACCAAUCCAUCUCACAACAUCAAACUCCCCCUGUCUCCACUGAAAAAAAUUCCAACACCAGAACCUUCACCGCAACCAUCUCAUCACACUCCACCUUACAGCUCUCCACUGUAAACUGAACACACUCCAGAAAAACCGAAGACUCCUCCCCAUUUCAAAAACUUUGCGAAGCAUAUGUCUUCUCCGAGCUCAAACGACUCCCCUGCCACCACUGAAAGUAAAAGAGAUUAGAAGGAAGCCAAGCUCGCUAAAGAAGUAUGGAGACUUUGUGGAUUUGACACCGUCAUGGAUGAGUCCCUGAUAAAGUCUUGGUUCAAUCCACAUAGAAUACUACUUGAUGAUGACUACGUCCCACAUCUUACCUAUGCGGAACCCCCCUCAGAUGGUUACUGGGAUGUCCCAAUCUCACCAAAUGCUAGAUACUUCACUAUAUUUGAGCAGUUCGACCGCAACCUUCCUGACGAUAAAAGACUUCCAAUGGAAUUUGAGAGACUUAGCCAAUUCUAUGAUAAACAUGCCUCUCUCGUUGAACAUAUAUGGUCUAAUGAUAGACCAUCCGCAGUAAAAAAUUACAAGAUUCGGAAGUUCAUGAAGGCUGAGUUCAUCCAGUACAUUCUGACCAGGAGGGAACACGAUUACAUCCGCGCCCAGGCUGAUUUUCCAUGUAUGAACCCUGAAGAAGUUUUUCUCAUUGCCAAGGUGUUUCAGCACAAGUCUGAGAAGAAUUUGAAGAUGAAGAUUACACUUGAAAGGGCUAGUACUUUCCUCAAGGAAACAGUCUAUGACUUCGCCAAGAUUGACGCAGACAUUCAUCCCAUCAAUUCCAAGAUUGUUGAUCUGCCACCACCUGACCCCGCACCGAUGCCUACCGAAGGUUAGGAGGAAAUAUCCAUAGGUGCAACCAACUAUCCUGAGUUUGGAGUCAUUUUGUAGAGGAAGACUGACAACGUCAAAUAUUUCAUUCCUAUGACUACCAUGCAUCAUCUCACCAGAAAGCAACUUGAGAUCUGCCGAAACGCAGUUGAAAAGUCCAAGCACACCACCGCAAAGGUCAAGUUCGAGAUCCUCAGAAUAGUCAACUGGUUAGAGAACAUCAGGAAGUUUUGGGGGAUCCUGAUCAAGUUUCUUAAACUUGACAGCUGAUCAAAGUUGAAGAGGUCACUUAGGGGGAAAUUAUUGAAUCAAAAAAGUGACCCUCUUAAAACUCAGCUACCGCAACCAUAAAGCCACCGCAGUCAAGCAGUCUCUUCAAGAAUAAUCAUCCGAAGUCUCUAGUACGUCAGUCUCUAUCUAGUUUACAUUACCUUGUCUUUAUUAUAAAAAACUCUAUUGUCCAGUAUGCCUUGCAUGGCUACUCUUAGAGUUGUAAACUUGUUUUCUUUAAGAGUCUCUAUAAAUAGAGCUCAUUCUCUGUGUAAUCAGUAAGAAGAGAAUCUCUCAUCUAAUUCUAAUACAUAUCUCAGAAGUUCUCAUUCUAUCUUACUUACUCAAUCUUCUUACUCUCAUAAUCAAUCAUCAGCUCUCUUCAGAGCAAGUCACUUGUGACUUAAUCACUAAGUUUGAUCUCACACAUUAACUUGGUUUGAAAUGCAUUCCUCGUUAUGAAUCAGCUUUAAGUGUAUACUUGAAAUAACAACUGUUGUCAUUUACAUUUCUUUACUUUUCCGCAACUAACUCACUAACUUCUAACUCUUAAUAUUAUUGUUGAGCUAACAAAUCCUUCGACAUUAACUAUUCCGUUAUGUACUUGUUCUAACGUUUGUUCAAGUGUGUCUCAAAGUUUUUCUCUCAAUAGAUAUGGUCAAACGUUGGUCCUUAAUUGGGCAGUUAUAAAAUCCUUUUUUAGUUAUGGUGUGAACUAUGUAAGAGGCUUAUGUAGUCAAUAUGAGAUUUGUUCCACUUAUGUGUUGAGAGUUAUACCUCUAACUCACUUUAACAAAAGUUGAAAACCUAAUGAAAUUGAUCGCUAUCCAUAUCUCAUGUUCAAUAUGAUGUCUGUGACAAAUGGAUAACUGAUAAACUUGCGAUAUACACUAAUUUUAGCUUGAAGCUUUUUGCUAAGUGGGUGUUGAUAGAAUGGCACAAAUUUGUAUCUUGUUGGGGGUAAUAAAUGUUGGAUAAGGUGUCUAAGUCCAUAACUUAUUUGGUAUAUACUUGACCCGACCCGGCAUGGUCUAUUUGGGUUGCAUUUCAUCCAAACUAUUUAUGGAUAAUUUUAUGAGAGUUAUACACAUAUGAUUAUUAAUAUAUUAUAAGUUAUAAUAUAUUAAUAUGAUGUCAUGUUAUUUAAUUAGUCUUAGUCUUAAAUUAAUUAUGAAUUAAUUUAGAGAUUAAAAGGAAGACUAAUUAGAUUGUGGGCUAUUGGUUUUAUAUGGUGUGGGCUAACACUCAUUUGUUAAUGGGCUAGGCUUGUAUGGAAGUCCAUGGAUGAUCCAUGGAGCUUUUAACCAAUGGAUCCUUGGAAAAGGAAAGGUCAUGGGUUAUUAGGGUUUCACCCUAAUCAUGUACACUAUAUAAGCAUGCUUAUGUUGCAUGAAAUAGCCACUAGUGGCACUAGUGUGUGUGCUUGUGUGUGGCCGAAAAUUACAAGUGUGUGUACUCUCUCAAAGUUUUCCAAGAGUUUGUGGUGAUUUGUGAUUCCAUUUAAGGCAUUUACACUAUUGGUUCUUGGCCCUCAAACUCCUUAGGAAUUGAACUCAUCAUCAAAAGGUAUGUAAUCUCAUCUAAUUCUUUUAUGUUUAAAAGUACCCCAUGCCAUGUUAGAUAGGUUAUGAACCUUGGAAAAUUAUUAUUUUGCAUGUAUUUAGACAAACAUAGAUCCAAGGUUUAUUAGGGUUGCAUGCACACUUUUGAAGUGUUAGAUUGCUCAAAACCCAACAAUAAAAUGUUGCUAGACGUUCACCACUUUCUAUAACAAUCUAAUAUGAGUCUUACAAAAGUCAGGGAUUCAAAGAUCUAGUAUGCUCAAGAAUCAUAUUUAAGUGAUAUUGGUAAUUAACAUAUGAUACUAAUGAGUCACACUAAAAACAACGUAAUACAAUUGAUUAUUUAUUCGAAAUUGAUUUUAAUAAAUAUUCAAGAACUCUUAUAAUUAAAACGGAAAUUAUUUAUUUCUUGGAAAUAAUUAUUUUUAUUAAUAAGUAAGAUUACAUAAUUCAUAUAGCAUCAAUUAAUAAGUCAUGGACGGUAACGCCCCGACUCUCUGGUGUAAUUUUAUGGCUUUAAUUUUCAUAAUUUCAACAUCUACUCAACGAGUUGGAUGCCCUUACUCGUCGAGUUGAAGCAGAUUGGGCCACGUGUUUAAGUGACCUACUCACCGAGUCCAAGAUAGGACUUGACGAGUAGG